GCACUGGUGGUUUAGUGGUAAAAUUGGCGCUUGCCAUGCAAGCAUGCGCCAGCCCCGGGUUCGAUUCCCGGCCAAUGCA
rnacentral:tRNA from 1 species